AUGGUUUGUUGAGGGGAUUGAAUCUUAUCAAAAACCAGCUUGGACAUACUGUGAUUCCAACGCAGUCAAAGGUGGUGUAGCCCUUCAGCAGGGGUCAGAUUGUGUAGUGAUACAGUGAGAGCCUAUAUGGGCAAGUAACUGUGUUAAGCAUUUGUUGCUAACGUUACUGUGAUUUUUGGAAAGUUAAAUAAUCUCAAAGGGGGGAGAUAGAACAUUUUACAGCUGGCCACUACAGCUUUAUGUUUAGAGGUGUUCACUGCCACUACAGCUUUAUGUUUAGAGGUGUUCACUGCCACUACAGCUUUAUGUUUAGAGGUGUUCACUGCCACUACAGCUUUAUGUUUAGAGGUGUUCACUGCCACUACAGCUUUAUGUUUAGAGGUGUUCACUGCCACAUUCUGGUUUGCAUUGCUUCAUACUUGCAUUGUGAGUGCUAUUUUGAACUUUUGCUCAGAGUGCACAAGACAGUAAUGACCUAUAAUACUUGUAUACUGAGUUGUCAUUACAUCACCCCCAAAAAAACUAUAUAUAUAAAUAUAUAUAUAUAUAUAUAUAUAUAAAUAUAUAUAUUUUUUUUUCAACAAAGUAUUUUUUAAUCUGUAAACAGACGUACGUAAAGUGCCAUGCUUUAAAGCAGCCAAAACUGGGGGAUUAAAUUCAGCGGCAUACACUACUUUUUCUGAAGUUAGAAUGUCAGUCUUGAGAUGUUUUUGUAGCUGUUGGUACCCAAAUGUUUUAUUAAAUCCCAAUUGAAGAACAUGUAGAUUUCUGUUCAUAUGCCUUUGCUGCCAGUGUCAAACAUUUCGCGUUCAACUUAUGUUGGUGUACUGAGCUCUUUUGCAAAGUAUCAAGUACAGUAAUCUAAAAUAUUUAUUCACUGAACUGUUAUUGCAUGAGAAGUAAAAAAAAAUCACGUUUAUUUUUAAUUAAUGUUGGCUUGCCACUGGACUUAAGUUUAGUUGUAUGUGCAGUAAAGUUCACGACUGGAAGAAGGUUUGCGUAUCAUAACAGUUGAAACCACAAGUUAAGUGCCUUUUUCUAGGGGAGUAUCGCGGUGCAUUCAGCAAAACUUGCUGUACUACCACAAUAUGGUUAGAGAUGUGGUGCUUUGUUGGGCUACCACUAGUAACUUUGCAGAGCAUUGUAGCUUCUUUGGGUUUUGCUAGUUGCUUCAUUUAAAAUGUGUGUUUUGCACUUUAAGCUUUACAUACUCUGCAUGUAUUUCGAUCAUAUCACUUGUGCUAUGAAAUGAGAAACAAAUACUUCUUUAGGAGAAUGUAAGUUUUGCCAUUGUAGUAAGGAUUCAUACUCUGUAUGCUCUAAUAGGCAUGCUCCUCUUUGAAAUUGUUAUUGUGUGGCCUUCAAAAGCUGUUAGCUUUGCAGAAAACACUAUUCAAGUGGGGUUAUCAAGUGACUGUAUCCUGUAAAUUUCACAAGAAUGUCUAGAAGCAGUCGAAACAUCGUCAUGAGAAAUAAGCCAGAUCGGCCUUUGUAAUUUGAUGGUUUGCAACUAAGUCAGUCUGAAAACAAAUGUGUAGCUUUCAUUUUUUUGCCAAAGUAAAAUGUAUAAUCAUGUGAUUUCAGACCUAAAAGUUAAAUGAUGUAUAAUUUGAGGCAUUAAACAAUGAUUUUGUUUUCAUUAAAUUUUUAUAUUGCAGCUG